rnacentral:misc_RNA from 1 species
UGGAAGAUUAACCAGAUGGACACUGG